rnacentral:snRNA from 1 species
GGGUUGAUUUGGCUGAUCUGGCUGCUAGCGGGUGUCCCCUUCCUCCCUCACCACUCCAUGUGCGUCCCUCCUGAAGCUGCCCGCUGGGUUGAAGAGGACAAACUUCUCUGAUAGAAGGAGGACCAAGGAUAUAAGAGUCGCUGCGCUCCCCUGCUAAAGUCUCCAAAUAAGUCUCAGGAAAUAGCAAUCUGUAUUAUCAGUGCAUGGCUCUGUUUAAU